rnacentral:rRNA from 1 species
UACGUAGGCAGCAAGGCGUUGUUCGGAGUUACUGGGCGUAAAGGGUGCGUAGGCGGUUGUUUAAGUUUGGUGUGAAAUCUCCCGGCUCAACUGGGGAGGGUGCGCCGAAUACUGAAUGACUAGAGUGCGGGAGAGGAGAGUGGAAUUGCCUGGUGUAGCGGUGAAAUGCGUAGAUAUCAGGAGGAACACCGGUGGUGUAGACGGCUCUCUGGUACGUGACUGACGCUGAGACGCGAAAGCGUGGGGAGCAAACAG